UGAAACCAUCUCAAUGGCAGCUCUAAAUCUCUGCUAGUUAGUUUCUGUUUUUAUUCCCCCCCUUGUACACACAGCAUACCGCUAUCGAGGUUUGAAAUUCUGGUAUCAUCUACUGCUGUGCUGAGUGCAUUUAGUGAAUACCUGGUGAACAUAACCACCGUCAAGAGUAGUUUUCAUUCACAGGAGUUAGUAGCUCAAUGCAGCACAUAAUGCAGAGCUUUGGUGUACCAGUAUAGAAACAUGUGGGUGGAAGCUUCUUCCAGGAGGAGCGCUUUACACCACAUCCUUCUCAGAUGUGAAAGAUAAACAGCCUUAGUAACUUGUGUGGUACAUCCUCUCUCUCUCUCUCUCUUUAGUGCUCUCCGUAGGGAGGAUCAUCCGUCAUCUGCCUGAAGAGCUGGGUGAGAAUCCAAUCGUCAGCGCGCAUCACUCACCCAGCAGCGACAGCCAACACUGACUGGCAUGUGCUGUAACCUAUUCUGUUAUAAUCAUGCACACCAUGCCUUAAGGAGGAAAACGAUGAGCAGGAUUUACUUCAAAUGGUGACGGAAGCAGCAGGGCAAAACUAGCGCAGUAUUCACCACAUAUACCAAAGAGCAGCUGCAACUCUAUGGACAAUUAUUCUCAACCAGUGACACUCAUCCAGAAUCAUUUAAAUGGCCUUCAAGAGCAACUAAACAUGAGUGGCAGCGAUUUAAAAGAGCAAUUCAAUUUAGUGUGAGCCACUCAAGUGAUUAGAUUCUAUUACAGCGUGCAAACACAAGGGCACUGCUGGCCUUAUAAAGUGACCUAGUGUCCCGUAAAGCCCAGGCGUGGCCGUGCUCAGCACCGGAUUGCUCUUAAUGGGAUUUCACAACAUUAACAUUGUACUGAGUCAGCAUCAGUCACACUGGUGGCUACACAGCCCCUCUGCUGAAACAGCCUCGUCUCUCACUGCGUUUAGACACAAUAUGACUGUAUACACACAGUGUGGUAGGGGUGGACAAUUAUCAGACCUGCUUCACUGUAGUGGAAUCCCUCCAGGAGAUAACUAUAGUAUCCUCUGACAAGCACAGCAUAGAAUAUUUAUAUGUGGAGGAAAAACAUCUCCUGACAUGAUGCAGCAGAAAUUCAUGAGGACAGCAGCUCUUGUUUGGAAAUAGAGUUAAAUGUCAUUCUGUUGUGGUGGUUUCUCUGGACACUACCCUUUCUGUAAAGCAUAUAUAUUAAAACAAGUGACCAUUUUAGGGCGUCUCAUGCUCAGCUCUUCGUCAUCAGUCUAAUGCUGCAUUGACGUCAUAUGAGGCAGACCAUAAAUGUGAGCAGCCAAGUGGGAAAGACCUUUCAUGUGAACCUCUAAGUAGGAGUAGAGCUGAAGCAAUUAUUCGAUUGAUCGCUUAGUAAAUGGACAGAAAAUAAGCGACUAUUUUAAUAACCAAUUAAGGAAAGAAAAGAAGAUAUGUGCUGCCUUCAUUAGGGGGUAACAUCAUAUUAGCCAGAUCAGACUCUGUGAUCAAAAAACAUAGGGAUGCACGGUAUAUAUCAGGCCCAAUAAAUCAGCGGCCAAUGAUGGGAUAUUUAUAUUAUUAUGUAUUAUUCCGAUAAAUAAAUUAUAGCCACUAAAUUAUCGUCUGAUAAUACGAAGCCAAAUUGAUUUUUAUUGACUUAAGAGCAGCAUCUAUACACUCUGAUACAGCAGGUGGCGGUAUGCAUUUUGAAUGGGGGGGUAGUGCGUUUGGGCCGUGGCUGCGGUGGCUGCAGGGGGUGCCGAAAAUGUAACCAGCAAUCCAGAGCCGUAAAACCCAGCCGUGAGGGAACAAAGGACCAGUUAAUGGGCCAUUAAAGUGACUCUCCCAGACCUACACACAACCCUGCGGAGAAUUGCCUUAUCUCUUGUGAAUGCAGCCUUAAAGUUGGUUUGUGACGCGCCAAUAAACACCAAAGAACAAGAACAAGAACAGCUCGCUGACUAGAGAGACAAAUGUUGUCGCUGGUGUGGAUGUUUUUCAGUUUCAGAGGAAGACAACAUGAUCGCAGUUUGCAAUACAAGUUUUAAAUGUGCUUUAAUAGAAAAAAUAAAUGAACAUUUGAAGAUACAAAA